rnacentral:rRNA from 1 species
AGCUGGUUCCCUCCGAAGUUUCCCUCAGGAUAGCUGGAACUUUUUAUAGAAUAGUUUUUAUCAGGUAAAGCGAAUGAUUAGAAGCUCUGGGGAUGAAACAUCCUCGACUUAUUCUCAAACUUUAAAUAGGUAAGAAGAUUGCAGUACUUAAUUGACUGUCAGUCUCUUGAAUAGUAAGUUCUUAGUGGGCCAUUUUUGGUAAGCAGAACUGGCGAUGUGGGAUGAACCAAACGUAAAGUUAAAGUGCCUAAAAAAUACGUUCAUCAGAUACCACAAAAGGUGUUGAUUCAUCUUGACAGUUGGACAGUGGCCAUGGAAGUCGGAAUCUGCUAAGGAGUGUGUAACAACUCACCAACCGAAUGAAUUAGCCCUGAAAAUGGAUGGCGCUUAAACGUAUUACUUAUACUUUACCAUUAAAGUAAAUGCUAAACUUUAAUGAGUAGGAGGGCGUAUGGAUAAUUUAGAAGACUGGCAGUAAUGCUGGUUGGAAUUAUCUUUAGUGCAGAUCUUGGUGGUAGUAGC